AACGAACGCUGGCGGCAGGCUUAACACAUGCAAGUCGAGCGAAGACUUCGGUCUUAGCGGCGGACGGGUGAGUAACGCGUGGGAACAUACCCUAAGGUACGGAAUAGUCCUGGGAAACUGGGGGUAAUACCGUAUGUGCCCUUCGGGGGAAAGAUUUAUCGCCUUAGGAUUGGCCCGCGUUGGAUUAGGUAGUUGGUGGGGUAAUGGCCUACCAAGCCGACGAUCCAUAGCUGGUUUGAGAGGAUGAUCAGCCACACUGGGACUGAGACACGGCCCAGACUCCUACGGGAGGCAGCAGUGGGGAAUCUUAGACAAUGGGCGCAAGCCUGAUCUAGCCAUGCCGCGUGAGUGAGGAAGGUCUUAGGAUCGUAAAGCUCUUUCGCUGGGGAAGAUAAUGACGGUACCCAGUAAAGAAACCCCGGCUAACUCCGUGCCAGCAGCCGCGGUAAUACGGAGGGGGUUAGCGUUGUUCGGAAUUACUGGGCGUAAAGCGCACGUAGGCGGAUUAGCAAGUUAGGGGUGAAAUCCCGGGGCUCAACCCCGGAACUGCCCUUAAAACUGUUAGUCUAGAGUUCUGGAGAGGUGAGUGGAAUUCCGAGUGUAGAGGUGAAAUUCGUAGAUAUUCGGAGGAACACCAGUGGCGAAGGCGGCUCACUGGCCAGAUACUGACGCUGAGGUGCGAAAGUGUGGGGAGCAAACAGG
rnacentral:rRNA from 1 species